AUUUAACGCUGGCGGCAGGCCUAACACAUGCAAGUCGAGCGGAGCGGCGGACGGGUGAGUAAUGCCUAGGCAUCUGCCUGGUAGUGGGGGAUAACGUCCGGAAACGGGCGCUAAUACCGCAUACUAUCAGAUUAGCCUAGGUCGGAUUAGCUAGUUGGUGGGGUAAAGGCUUACCAAGGCGACGAUCCGUAACUGGUCUGAGAGGAUGAUCAGUCACACUGGAACUGAGACACGGGCCAGACUCCGACGGGAGGCAGCAGUGGGGAAUAUUGGACAAUGGGCGAAAGCCUGAGCCAGCAAUGCCGCGUGUGUGAAGAAGGUCUUCGGAUUGUAAAGCACUUUAAGUUGGGAGGCGUUACCAAAAGAAUAAGCACCGGCUAACUCCGUGCCAGCAGCCGCGGUAAUUC
rnacentral:rRNA from 1 species